rnacentral:rRNA from 1 species
GAUGAACGCUGGCGGCGUGCCUAAUACAUGCAAGUCGAGCGAACAGACGAGGAGCUUGCUCCUUCGACGUUAGCGGCGGACGGGUGAGUAACACGUAGGUAACCUACCUAUAAGACUGGGAUAACUUCGGGAAACCGGAGCUAAUACCGGAUAAUAUUUCGAACCGCAUGGUUCGAUAGUGAAAGAUGGCUUUGCUAUCACUUAUAGAUGGACCUGCGCCGUAUUGGCUAGUUGGUAAGGUAACGGCUUACCAAGGCAACGAUACGUAGCCGACCUGAGAGGGUGAUCGGCCACACUGGAACUGAGACACGGUCCAGACUCCUACAGGAGGCAGCAGUAGGGAAUCUUCCGCAAUGGGCGAAAGCCUGACGGAGCAACGCCGCGUGAGUGAUGAAGGUCUUCGGAUCGUAAAACUCUGUUAUUAGGGAAGAACAAACGUGUAAGUAACUGUGCACGUCUUGACGGUACCUAAUCAGAAAGCCACGGCUAACCACGUG